rnacentral:rRNA from 1 species
UACAGAGGUCUCAAGCGUUGUUCGGAUUCAUUGGGCGUAAAGGGUGCGUAGGUGGCGCGCUAAGUCGGGUGUGAAAUCUCGGAGCUUAACUCCGAAAUUGCAUUCGAUACUGGCGUGCUUGAGGACUGGAGAGGAGACUGGAAUUCAUGGUGUAGCAGUGAAAUGCGUAGAGAUCAUGAGGAAGACCAGUGGCGAAGGCGGGUCUCUGGGCCGAUAUUGACGCUGAGGAGCGAAAGCGUGGGGAGCGAACAGG